rnacentral:rRNA from 1 species
AAUCGGGGAGGGAUCACUCGCACGGAGUACCUCGCAACCCCAUGUGAACCUCUACCGAACGUUGCCUCGGCGGGACGCGUCCCGGCCCCGCCCCUUCUACGGGGUGCCGGAGCCGAGGCCCGCCCGCCGGGGGACCCCAACCAUAAACUCUGCAUAUAUCAUGGCAUGUCUGAGUGGAUUUAGUAUCAAAUGAAUCAAAACUUUCAACAACGGAUCUCUUGGUUCUGGCAUCGAUGAAGAACGCAGCGAAAUGCGAUAAGUAAUGUGAAUUGCAGAAUUCAGUGAAUCAUCGAAUCUUUGAACGCACAUUGCGCCCGCCAGUACUCUGGCGGGCAUGCCUGUUCGAGCGUCAUUUCAACCCUCAAGCCCCCGGGUUUGGUGUUGGCGACCGGCACACGGUUGGGAGGGGCCACGUGCCCCCCCCACUCCGCGCCGUCGCCCAAAUGGAUCGGCGGCCACGCCGCGGCAUCCCCUGCGCAGUAACAUACCACCUCGCAGGCGGCGGCCCGGCCCGGUCUCUGCCGUAAAACCCCCAACUUUCUCAAGAGUUGACCUCGAAUCAGGUAGGAAUACCCGCUGAACUUAAGCAUAUCAAAAGCCCGGAAGAAAGAUCAUUACCGAGU